UAGGGAAUCUUCCACAAUGGACGAAAGUCUGAUGGAGCAACGCCGCGUGAGUGAAGAAGGUUUUCGGAUCGUAAAGCUCUGUUGUUGGUGAAGAAGGAUAGAGGCAGUAACUGGUCUUUAUUUGACGGUAAUCAACCAGAAAGUCACGGCUAACUACGUGCCAGCAGCCGCGGUAAUACGUAGGUGGCAAGCGUUGUCCGGAUUUAUUGGGCGUAAAGCGAGCGCAGGCGGAAUGAUAAGUCUGAUGUGAAAGCCCACGGCUCAACCGUGGAACUGCAUCGGAAACUGUCAUUCUUGAGUGCAGAAGAGGAGAGUGGAACUCCAUGUGUAGCGGUGGAAUGCGUAGAUAUAUGGAAGAACACCAGUGGCGAAGGCGGCUCUCUGGCUCUGCAACUGACGCUGAGGCUCGAAAGCAUGGGUAGCGAACAGGAUUAGAUACCCUGGUAGUCCAUGCCGUAAACGAUGAGCGCUAGGUGUU
rnacentral:rRNA from 1 species